rnacentral:misc_RNA from 1 species
GAUGAAGAACGUAGCGAAAUGCGAUAAGUAAUGCGAAUUGCAGAAUUCCGUGAGUCAUCGAAUCUUUGAACGCACAUUGCGCCCCCCGGUAUUCCGGGGGGCAUGCCUGUUCGAGCGUCAUUGUCAACCCUCAAGCUCGGCUUGCUGUUGGGUCCCCGUCGUUGCUCCAACGGCGGACCCGAAAGACAAUGGCAGAGUCCGCGGGACCCUGGAUGCAGCGAGCUUCUGGCACGCGUCUGGACGGUCUCUGGGCUUGGCCUCCACCAAUCGUCAACCUGUGAUUGACCUCGGAUCAGGUAGGGAUACCCGCUGAACUUAAGCAUAUCAAUAAGCGGAGGA